rnacentral:rRNA from 1 species
GGAAUUUUUGACAAUGGGGGCAACCCUGAUCAAGCAACGCCGCGUGGAGGACGAAGACCCUCGGGUCGUAAACUCCUGUCGGAGGGGACGAAAGCGGUCGUAAUCAAUACCUGCGGCCGUUGACGGUACCCUACGAGGAAGCCCCGGCCAACUCCGUGCCAGCAGCCGCGGUAAUAGGGGGGGGGCAAGCGUUGUUCGGAAUUACUGGGCGUAAAGGGCGCGCAGGCGGCCUGGCAAGUCCUUUGUGAAAUCCCACAGCUCAACUGUGGAAUUGCGUGGGAUACUGCCAGGCUUGAGUCCGGGAGAGGAGAGUGGAAUUCCCAGUGUAGCGGUGAAAUGCGUAGAUAUUGGGAGGAACACCGGUGGCGAAGGCGGCUCUCUGGACCGGAACUGACGCUGAGGCGCGAAAGCGUGGGGAGCA